ACUAAAAAAGUAUCACUAACUACAUCGCACCAUUUCUCCAUACCUAACCCUAAUAGUGUCCACGAAGGGGUUAACCAGGCUUCAUUCCACGUAUAGCUGCGGCUUCCGCCUUUAAUUUUGGGUCACCGCCAGCGAAGACUCAGAGUCACGAUGUGCUUUAGACAGAGCGGUGUGUUCUGGCUUCUUAUUCCCGUCUGUCUGGCUCAGACGCUCACCGUUCUCCAGAGACCCAGAAUGCUCGUGAGACACUUAAAUACCCCAGUCCAGAUGAUCUGCACUCAAACUACAGACCACGACUGGAUGUACUGGUACCAACAAAAGGACGGCGGGGAGCUAAAGCUUAUUGCCUGCCAGAUAAAGGGUAACGACGCUUUCUACGAGCAGGGGGGCAGUGCAAAUCAUUUCACCAUGAAGAGAACCGAGGACGGGAAGACCACCAGCUUGGACGUGAAGUCGCUAACAGCUGAGGAUGAAGCCGUAUACUUCUGUGCUUCGAGUGAUGCACAUUGUUACAAAGUAACCUACAGCCUUUCCAAUAACCUCACAAGAGAGCACCGACAUACAGGUGCUGCCCGGCAACAGAGAAUCAUCUUUACCGGUUCUCCAGCGAUGCCCUGAGGAUCAUAACAAGAAUAUGAUGGCGCUAUAUAAAACAAUAAACAAUAAUAACCUGUUUAAAGACA